rnacentral:rRNA from 1 species
UUUGACGUUAGCGGCGGACGGGUGAGUAACACGUGGGCAACCUACCUUAUAGUUUGGGAUAACUCCGGGAAACCGGGGCUAAUACCGAAUAAUCUAUUUCACUUCAUGGUGAAAUACUGAAAGACGGUUUCGGCUGUCGCUAUAAGAUGGGCCCGCGGCGCAUUAGCUAGUUGGUGAGGUAACGGCUCACCAAGGGAACGAUGCGUAGCCGACCUGAGAGGGUGAUCGGCCACACUGGGACUGAGACACGGCCCAGACUCCUACGGGAGGCAGCAGUAGGGAAUCUUCCACAAUGGGGGAAAGCCUGAUGGAGCAACGCCGCGUGAGUGAAGAAGGUUUUCGGAUCGUAAAACUCUGUUGUAAGGGAAGAACAAGUACAGUAGUAACUGGCUGUACCUUGACGGUACCUUAUUAGAAAGCCACGGCUAACUACGUGCCAGCAGCCGCGGUAAUACGUAGGUGGCAAGCGUUGUCCGGAAUUAUUGGGCGUAAAGCGCGCGCAGGCGGUCCUUUAAGUCUGAUGUGAAAGCCCACGGCUCAACCGUGGAGGGUCAUUGGAAACUGGGGGACUUGAGUGCAGAAGAGGAAAGUGGAAUUCCAAGUGUAGCGGUGAAAUGCGUAGAGAUUUGGAGGAACACCCGGUGGGCAAAGGCGACUUUUCUGGUCUGUAACUGACGCUGAGGCGCGAAAGCGUGGGGGAGCAAACAGGAUUAGAUACCCUGGGUAGUCCACGCCGUAAACGAUGAGUGCUAAGUGUUAGGGGGUUUCCGCCCCCUUAGUGCUGCAGCUAACGCAUUAAAGCACUCCCCCCGUGGGGGAGUACGGGUCGCAAGACUUGAACCUCAAGGAAUUUGACGGGGGGCCCGCACAAGCGGUGGAGCAUGUGGUUUUAAUUC